AUUGAACGCUGGCGGCAUGCCUUACACAUGCAAGUCGAACGGUAACAGGUCUUCGGAUGCUGACGAGUGGCGAACGGGUGAGUAAUACAUCGGAACGUGCCUAGUAGUGGGGGAUAACUACUCGAAAGAGUGGCUAAUACCGCAUGAGAUCUACGGAUGAAAGCAGGGGAUCGCAAGACCUUGUGCUACUAGAGCGGCCGAUGGCAGAUUAGGUAGUUGGUGGGAUAAAAGCUUAACAAGCCGACGAUCUGUAGCUGGUCUGGGAGGACGAUCAGCCACACGUGGACUGAGACACGGCCCAGACUCCUACGGGAGGCAGCAGGGGGGAAUUUUGGACAAUGGGCGAAAGCCUGAUCCAGCGAUGCCGCGUGCAGGAUGAAGGCCUUCGGGUUGUAACUGCUUUUGUACGGAACGAAAAGCCCCGGGUUAAUACCCUGGGGUCAUGACGGUACCGCAAGAAUAAGCACCGGCUAACUACGUGCCAGCCGCCGCGGUAA
rnacentral:rRNA from 1 species